GGUUAGCAUUUUAUAUCAUACCCCCAAGACAUGCUAACCUCUCACCAUUACAAUAACAGGCGAGGUUAGCAUUUUAUAUCAUACCCCCAAGACAUGCUAACCUCUCACCAUUACAAUAACAGGGGAGGUUAGCAUUUUAUAUCAUACCCCCAAGACAUGCUAACCUCUCACCAUUACAAUAACAGGCGAGGUUAGCAUUUUAUAUCAUACCCCCAAGACAUGCUAACCUCUCACCAUUACAAUAACAGGGGAGGUUAGCAUUUUAUAUCAUACCCCCAAGACAUGCUAACCUCUCACCAUUACAAUAACAGGCGAGGUUAGCAUUUUAUAUCAUACCCCCAAGACAUGCUAACCUCUCACCAUUACAAUAACAGGCGAGGUUAGCAUUUUAUAUCAUACCCC